rnacentral:rRNA from 1 species
AUUGAACGCUGGCGGCAGGCUUAACACAUGCAAGUCGAGCGGAGAUGAGGUGCUUGCACCUUAUCUUAGCGGCGGACGGGUGAGUAAUGCUUAGGAAUCUGCCUAUUAGUGGGGGACAACAUUCCGAAAGGAAUGCUAAUACCGCAUACGCCCUACGGGGGAAAGCAGGGGAUCUUCGGACCUUGCGCUCAUAGAUGAGCCUAAGUCGGAUUAGCUAGUUGGUGGGGUAAAGGCCUACCAAGGCGACGAUCUGUAGCGGGUCGGAGAGGAUGAUCCGCCACACUGGGACUGAGACACGGCCCAGACUCCUACGGGAGGCAGCAGUGGGGAAUAUUGGACAAUGGGCGGAAGCCUGAUCCAGCCAUGCCGCGUGUGUGAAGAAGGCCUUUUGGUUGUAAAGCACUUUAAGCGAGGAGGAGGCUACCUGGAUUAAUACUCUAGGAUAGUGGACGUUACUCGCAGAAUAAGCACCGGCUAACUCUGUGCCAGCCGCCGCCGUAAAAC